AAACAGGAGGUUGGGGAAAACAUCUCCCCAAUAAUAUGCUGAUCCGCGCCUUACUAACGGCUCCCGAUCGAACUUUGUUGGAUCCUUUCCUUUGGGUCAUUUUGCGCGCCGCCCCGGGAGAAGGAGGUGGUCAAAAACCGACCAGGCCCGACAAAUCCUCGAUAUCCACUCCUGGGGGAGGCUUCGAGCAUUGAUUGCCCCACCCAUUCUCCAGAACCCUUGAUACUGGACAGUGACAGCCCAUUCAGGCGGCGGCGUGAUGUUUGUUUGCCAGGCGCGACUCUCAUUCGUCCGUGCCUUCUCUCUGAGGCUGAACAGGAUGCAACUUCAUGCAGCCCACAACCUGUCAUUGCUACCAAACCGAUCAAUGAGCUUCUGAGGAGCCAUCCCGGUGUUGGGUGGGUGUUGAAAAUUUUAAACGAGUGCAUCUGGGAUCUCCCAUCCGUCUUGCCUAAAUUAGAGCCAUGAUCCAAAAAAUUCCUGUUCAUC
rnacentral:sRNA from 2 species